AGCGAACGCUGGCGGCAGGCCUAACACAUGCAAGUCGAACGAACUCUUCGGAGUUAGUGGCGGACGGGUGAGUAACACGUGGGAACGUGCCAUUAGGUACGGAACAACCCCGUGAAACUUGUGUUAAUACCGGAUGUGCACUCCGGGGGAAAGAUUUCUCGCCAUUCGAGCGGCCCGCGUCUGAUUAGCUAGUGGGUGAGGGAACGGCACAUCAAGGCGACGAUCAGUAGCUGGUCUGAGAGGAUGACCAGCCACACUGGGACUGAGACACGGCCCAGACUCCUACGGGAUGGAGCAGAGGGGAAUCUAGCGCAAUGGGCGGAAGCCUGACGCAGCCAGGCCGCGUGAGUGAUGAAGGUCGUAGGAUUGUGAAAGUCUUUCACCGGGGACGAUAAUGACGGUACCCGGAGAAGAAGCCCCGGCUAACUUCGUG
rnacentral:rRNA from 1 species